GCCAGGUGCGGUGGCACACGCCUGUCCUCCCAGCAGCUUGGGAGGCUGAGGCAGGAGGAUCGCGAGUUCAAAGCCAGCCUCAGCCAAAGCGAGGCUGUAAGCAACUCAGUGAGACCCUGUCUCUA
rnacentral:sRNA from 1 species